AGACACAAGUCUCCCUUUCCCAUAAAAAAAAGGAAGAAGAAGAAGAAGAAAAAGAAGAAGAAGAAAGGGAAAGAAAGAAACCACAAUUUCCUUUACAGGACAGCACAGAUGGUCCCCACCCUUCCCAAGGGCUCGCCAGGCCCGAGCACUUCACUCAAAACUGCUCACCCUGAUGCUGACCAGAAACUGGAUGCUUGCGCACGACCGUGUGUGUACACGGGCCUAAUCUCCUCGCGCAGGAAAAGCAGAUCUGGGUGCUCUGGAAAUACUGUGGGCUUAACAAGAUGGAGUAAGGGAUGUGGAGGGGCCCAGCUGGAUUAACAGCUUUCAAAUCCAAGCGCGGACUGCAAGCCUCCCUGGAAUGGCUCCCAAGGCCCUGGAUUCAGGCCUGGAGAAACAUGGGCCAAUGUCCCAUCCGGUGGCCCAAUCGGUGCCACGGGCCACGAAGUGAGUGUGAAAGAAGGUAACCAGGUACCAUGAGUCACCAGGGAAGGAGGGCGUGACAGCCUCACAGGGAGGCCGCUGUGCUGAGAACACAGCAGAAUUCGGAAGCCAGACAGACCAGACUUGGCCUCCUGGCUCCAGUCCUACGAGUCAGAGCGGUUACCCAAAGGCUCAGAGCCCUCAUUUCCUCCCCAGGCUAGGAUGAGGAUUUUGACUCUACGUCUGAAAUACAAGACAUGGUGCACAAUGGAUGAAGAGCAACAUUUGUUGGCAAGGCCAUCAUCAUUAUUCUUCAGUAAAGCUUUGCCUGUACAGCCAAGUUCUCCCCAGCAGAGCACAACCCUCUCACAUGCCAUCUUGAGGGGAAGGCCAACAGGAAGGUCCAAGCCAAUCCUCGCACCUGGGCUGAAGGAGAGGAAAAGUAAACUUGGGGCCAGGUUUAUAGUUGCUUUCUGACCAAGCAAGAAGGGCUCCACUCAGCCACUGUCAACAGCGUCAGCACCUUGGAGCUCAAACUGAGGAAUCAUCCCAAGUCCCUGCUUCCCACAUGCCCCAGUUGGCCUUGGAGACAAGCCCUUUAGUAUGUGAAGCAUCUGUUGAACACUCAGCUGGCUGGUAGAAGUCGGACGCUCUGUAUCUGCUGACCAACCACAAUGGGGCCACCAUCAGUGAGACUACCCACCACACAGCCACCAAGGGCGGAUCUCACAUACAGACCCACUGGUGACGACCUUCUUCUCAACCUCUAUUUGGCAUUCUGAGAGAUUUCCACACAAGGUCUGGGACAGCUCAGUGACUGGCCUUGGUCAUGCUGCCCAGACGCAAAUCCAAGGCCAAUGAGGUAGGCAGACAUUAUAUGCCUUGAACAUGUGCCAAGACUGGACACAUGCACCACCUAGCCAGUACCACAGACCCAACAUGAUGGUGAUCUCCCGCCCAGGCCCUGACCACCAUAUCUAAAAACUGCACCUGCCCCCCCUCACACUUUAUCCCCGUAUCCUACUUCACUUCUCUUCAUAGUCCUGAGGUCUACCUGCCUUCCCAUUAUACGUCAGCUCCAUGAGAUGGGGAUUUGGUCUGUUUGGGUUUUAGCAACAUCCUCCACACAUAAAUAGGGUUUGGCACAGAGUAGGUAUUGAAUGAUCAGUUAACUGGUUUAAUUAGCCAGAGGCCAGGGUAGUCAAAGAGAAGGUCAAAAACAAAAUCACAUCUGACUUAACUUAAAAGGAAGUUUUAAAAAGCACUUGAAGCCAUGCCAAGGAGUCUCUGCGGCUGCUUAGCUAGAUUGGGCAUCUCAGUUUCUUUUUUUCUCCCUUCCCCACCUCCCCUCCCCCCCCAUAUAUUUUUUCAUAACGUUUCGAAACUGGUGGCACAUGAAAGUUGGGAGCUGAGGGAUGAGAACUUCACAGAAAAAGGAACUAGCCCUGGGGGAACACAGAGCGGGAAUUUUCUGGGGACUGAGUCACCCUCUGCCACCUGGCCUGAUCUGGCCAGCUGGCCACAGCAGCGACAGCAGUCACUUACUGAGGCUUGACCCAGCACAGGCACCUGAGCUGGACACUCAGCCUUAUGACAGGCCUAUGACACAGUCACAGGGAUGCUACCUCUAAUAUGGGUUGGAUUCUAACAUCGAUGGGUAGGGGUCAGGCUCGGGCAUCAGCACACUAACUCAUGAAGUGCGCCAACACAGCAAAGCACAUGCCGUUCCCUUGAGCUCCAGCACUGGCACAGGAGAAGCAAUGGGCUUGUCUUCAGGGACUCCAGUGUACACAAAUUGUGUAUCUUUGAUCCCUGGAACCAUACUCACCACAGCAAGAUAAACAUUGCAUGAGAGCACCAGGACACCAACAAGAAAGAUCAGGUGUGCGUUUCCAAUCCCACAUUCUGUCCAGGCCAAGUCCACGCACACAGAGCUAGAAGGAGUGGAGCCAGAAUCUGACCCCACCCCAUCAACGUGUUGAGACAGACUCAGAUCCGUCAUCACAGGCCUUUCGAUCCAAGGACAGCACCCAGCAAUGUAAUCCCAGCCCCACAGAAAGAGACCCCCAUCUUUUAGAUCUUCCUUCCACACUAUCAGUGCUCCCCACAUGGCUGCUGAGUAUUCAUCAUCUGCAUCAUGCUUUAGAGUCCACUGGGGACUUCCACGGGCUCCAGGUGGGCAGCCCUGUGGUGGCGGUCCUCCCUAUCUCACUGCUCUGCAAAUCUCAGAGACGUAAGAGACGACAGAGUCCCAGAGGAGGACUGGAGUUGACCCAGGUCUCCUGACGCCAGGGCCCAAGCUCAUUCUACAUCUCAAUGCAGGUUACCUCUGCUCUGUGAUAGUUUACAUUCAGCGCCCUCCCACUUGUUCAGGCUCCCCGCAUCCUCAUUCUACCCUUUAUAAAAAAGAGCAGGCAGCUAAGAGUCUGUACACCAAGACUCCAAAAGUCAGUGGUCACUGUGCAGAAGAUCGGACGGUUCUUUUGGUCAGAGGCAAGCCGGGAAGUAGGAUGUAAAUCAGUUUACAAAUGUCUAUAAUCUGUUCAAGUCCUUUAAAACCGCGGGCACUACCCACAUCCACAACCCCCAGUCUCCUCUUCCUCCUUAGUAAAAAAAUUGCUAUUUUAUAUAUUGCACCCAGGACUAAAAGGCUAUGUUUCUCAGCCUCCCUUGCAGCUAGGUAUGUGCGUGCGACUAAGUCACGAGCAGGGAGAUGUAAGCAGACACGUUCCACGGAGAUUCCAGAGAAGAGCUUAGAGAGAGCUAAUCCCACAGAGAAGGGCCUCCACUUUGGCCGGCGCCCUUCUCCCCUCUGCCAGCAUUCAGCUCAGACAUGAAAACCGGAUCCCGGGAGGCACGCUGCACCGCGGAGCACUGGCAGACGCCUGUGUAGGAAGAUGGAAGCCUGGGUCCCAGAUGAUUCCCAGGGCUCUCACAGCCCUGGACUGCUACCUCCAGCUCACUUUUAUGUGGAGGAGGAAGGAUCCUUUACGUCACUCCAAGCUGCUAUUAAACUGCUGCUCCUCUGAGAGGUUUUUCAUUGUUAUACACAGCAAGAGCUGAUCCUAACUAACAUCAGCCCAAAGCAAAUAUACACAGCAAGAGCUGAUCCUAACUAACAUCAGCCCAAAGCAAAAAUAACAAAGCCCUGCCCCCACCUUUACUCCCAACCAGCUCCA